rnacentral:rRNA from 1 species
CCUACGGGAGGCAGCAGUGGGGGAUCUUUCACAAUGGGCGGAAGCCUGAUGCAGCGACGCCGCGUGGAGGAAGAAGGCCUUCGGGUUGUAAACUGCUUUUAUCAGGGAGGAAAAUGAUGGUAACUGAUGAAGAAGCAUCGGCUAACUACGUGCCAGCAGCCGCGGUCAUACGUAGGAGGCGAGCAUUAUCCGGGGUGACUGGGGGUAAAGGGGGGGGUAAGUGGGAUACGAAAUCGCAAGUGAAAUCCGGUGGCUCAACCCUUCAGACUUUUAUUUAAACUGCUAAGCUUGAGACCGUGAGGGGUAACCGGAAUUCCUGGUGUAGGAGUGAAAUGCGUAGAUAUCAGGAGGAACACCGAUAGCGAAGGCGGCUUGCUGGACCGGAACUGACGCUAAGGCCCGAAAGCGUAGGGAGCAAACAGGAUUAGAUACCCGAGUAGUC